rnacentral:rRNA from 1 species
GAUCAUGGCUCAGGAUGAACGCUANCGACAGGCCUAACACAUGCAAGUCGAGGGGCAGCGGAGAGGUAGCAAUACCUUUGCCGGCGACCGGCGCACGGGUGAGUAACACGUAUGCAAUCCACCUGUAACAGGGGGAUAACCCGGAGAAAUCCGGACUAAUACCCCAUAAUAUGGGCGCUCCGCAUGGAGAGCCCAUUAAAGAGAGCAAUUUUGGUUACAGACGAGCAUGCGCUCCA